AAUGUGCCCGAGCGGUUAAGGGGUAUGAUUAAGGCUCAUAUGCGUAAGCGCGCGAGUUCGAUUCUCGUCAUUC
rnacentral:tRNA from 1 species